GCUUCAGGUAUCCGUCCACUAUAAUGAAAGAUAACGAAACCCUAUAAAGCAGACCACAAAAAUUAAACAAAACCCAAAAACUAAACAGUAAAAAAUAAAAAUAAAAAAGAACUGCAAAUAUUCUAUAAAUCGUAAUAUGAACUGCAACCCAUCAAUCAUCCCUCAAAAUAAACUGCAAAUCACAAAAUGACCUACCCCAAAUCGGCUGGAGAACUCACCAGGAAACCAAGGCUUUUCUGGGCUUAAAAUUUCCUUCGAAUUGGGAUCAAAUUCACGGUUUUUGAGCAAGAGGUCCAUGUGCUUCGUAGUUUCUGAGAGAGAGAAUCGAAGAGAUUUCUAACGGCUUGGUGGUUUUUGAGCAACACAGUGCUGUAGUUAGUGAUUUCGGUGCACAGAUGGAUAACUUCCGUGGGAAAAUAUCAAACCCAAACAGAAGUCCUCUGAAACUCCAAUUUCAAUAUAAUCAAACACAAACAAAAUACCAAACUCAACUCCGAUUAAGUUGUUGAUGGCUUUGAGUUCUAAAACAAAACGAAUGCUAUCAACAUUUGCUUACAACCCUAAUUACCAAAUUCUUCAAGCUGCCUAAUCAAAAUCUAAGAUUAUCGCUACAAUGAACAUAGAAACACUAAUUACACAUAAACAUCGCAUAAAAAGCAUAAAUAAAAAAAUCCACAACAUCAGCAGAGAUAACGAAAAUGAUAAAAACUCUAAAAAAAUUUAAACAAAAUUUAAAAACUUUAACUCACAGGAAGCUCUUUGUAGCGAUUUUCUCAGACAAUGGCAAAUUUUCCAUAGCUGAUUUCAGUAACCCGAAAUCAAUUUAAAAAAAAUAAAUAGAUUUAAAUUCCAAAUUGGGCAUGAAACUACUUGCCUUGAGUAGGGAGGGUUUUACAAAACGCCGCCUUUGGAGACCAAGCUUUUGAGCGGCUGCGGCGCCUGGUGUGACGGUGCGAGACAGAGAGAGAGUUUGAGAAGCAACGAUUAAUUUUUUGGAUGAGAGAAACGGAAUGAAGCAGAAGACUCGAG
rnacentral:lncRNA from 1 species